AUGGUCUCAUCAUUUAGGGGUACUAGGAAGAAACAAUUUGAUGAACCUGAUAAGUAAGAAGAAGUUCUAAAAGUUGAGAAGGCGUUCAAAGUUAAUUAUUUCUUAGUUGUGGUUGAUAUUGCAAAGGUCUCUUUGACAACUAGAUUCAAAGAACUCAAAGUGUUCAAAAAUAUAUUUGGGUUCUUACUUAGCUCAAAAGACAUGAAGUUAUUGGAUGAUGUUGAACUACACAAAUGUUGUGCUAAGUUCAUAGAAACAUUUUCACGAAAUGGUUCAUGCGAUGUUGAGUUAGAUGAUCUUUUUUCUGAAUUAAGACUGAUGCAAAUGAGUUUGCUUCUAGAAGUGUUAGACGAAUUUCUAUGUUCUAGGAUAGACGUGAAAUGCUCAGUUUCCUUUACUAUGCCUUGA
rnacentral:rRNA from 1 species